AGUAACACGUGAGUAACCUGCCCUCUACUCUGGGAUAAGCGCUGGAAACGGUGUCUAAUACUGGAUACGACCUUGAACCGCAUGGUUUCUUGGUGGAAAGUUUUUUCGGUAGGGGAUGGACUCCCGGCCUAUCAGCUUGAUGGUGAGGUAAUGGCUCACCAUGGCGACGACGGGUAGCCGGCCUGAGAGGGUGACCGGCCACACUGGGACUGAGACACGGCCCAGACUCCUACGGGAGGCAGCAGUGGGGAAUAUUGCACAAUGGGCGAAAGCCUGAUGCAGCAACGCCGCGUGAGGGAUGACGGCCUUCGGGUUGUAAACCUCUUUUAGUAGGGAAGAAGCUUUUGUGACGGUACCUACAGAAAAAUCACCGGCUAACUACAUGCCAGCAGCCGCGGUAAUACGUAGGGUGCAAGCGUUGUCCGGAAUUAUUGGGCGUAAAGAGCUCGUAGGCGGUUUGUCGCGUCUGCUGUGAAAUCCUAAGGCUCAACCUUAGACUUGCAGUGGGUACGGGCAGGCUUGAGUGCGGUAGGGGAGAUUGGAAUUCCUGGUGUAGCGGUGGAAUG
rnacentral:rRNA from 1 species